GACGAACGCUGGCGGCGUGCCUAACACAUGCAAGUCGAACGGAACUGUUUUGAAAGAUUUCUUCGGAAUGAAUUUGAUUUAGUUUAGUGGCGGACGGGUGAGUAACGCGUGAGUAACCUGCCUUCAAGAGGGGAAUAACAUUCUGAAAAGAAUGCUAAUACCGCAUGACAUAUCGGAACCACAUGGUUUUGAUAUCAAAGAUUUUAUCGCUUGAAGAUGGACUCGCGUUCGAUUAGUUAGUUGGUGAGGUAACGGCUCACCAAGACCGCGAUCGGUAGCCGGACUGAGAGGUUGAACGGACACAUUGGGACUGAGACACGGCCCAGACUCCUACGGGAGGCAGCAGUGGGGGAUAUUGCGCAAUGGGGGCAACCCUGACGCAGCAACGCCGCGUGAAGGAUGAAGGUUUUCGGAUUGUAAACUUCUUUUAUUAAGGACGAAAAAUGACGGUACUUAAUGAAUAAGCUCCGGCUAACUACGUG
rnacentral:rRNA from 1 species